UACAGAGGUCUCAAGCGUUGUUCGGAUUCAUUGGGCGUAAAGGGUGCGUAGGCGGCGCCGUAAGUCAGGUGUGAAAUCUUCGGGCUCAACCCGGAAACUGCAUUUGAUACUGCGGUGCUUGAGGACUGGAGAGGAGAUCGGAAUUCACGGUGUAGCAGUGAAAUGCGUAGAUAUCGUGAGGAAGACCAGUAGCGAAGGCGGAUCUCUGGACAGUUCCUGACGCUGAGGCACGAAGGCCAGGGGAGCAAACGGG
rnacentral:rRNA from 1 species